rnacentral:rRNA from 1 species
AGUUUNGNNCUGGCUCAGGACGAACGCUGGCGGCGUGCCUAAUACAUGCAAGUCGAACGAACUCUGGUAUUGAUUGGUGCUUGCAUCAUGAUUUACAUUUGAGUGAGUGGCGAACUGGUGAGUAACACGUGGGAAACCUGCCCAGAAGCGGGGGAUAACACCUGGAAACAGAUGCUAAUACCGCAUAACAACUURGACCGCAUGGUCCGAGYUUGAAAGAUGGCUUCGGCUAUCACUUUUGGAUGGUCCCGCGGCGUAUUAGCUAGAUGGUGRGGUAAYGGCUCACCAUGGCAAUGAUACGUAGCCGACCUGAGAGGGUAAUCGGCCACAUUGGGACUGAGACACGGCCCAAACUCCUACGGGAGGCAGCAGUAGGGAAUCUUCCACAAUGGACGAAAGUCUGAUGGAGCAACGCCGCGUGAGUGAAGAAGGGUUUCGGCUCGUAAAACUCUGUUGUUAAAGAAGAACAUAUCUGAGAGUAACUGUUCAGGUAUUGACGGUAUUUAACCAGAAAGCCACGGCUAACUACGUGCCAGCAGCCGCGGUAAUACGUAGGUGGCAAGCGUUGUCCGGAUUUAUUGGGCGUAAAGCGAGCGCAGGCGGUUUUUUAAGUCUGAUGUGAAAGCCUUCGGCUCAACCGAAGAAGUGCAUCGGAAACUGGGAAACUUGAGUGCAGAAGAGGACAGUGGAACUCCAUGUGUAGCGGUGAAAUGCGUAGAUAUAUGGAAGAACACCAGUGGCGAAGGCGGCUGUCUGGUCUGUAACUGACGCUGAGGCUCGAAAGUAUGGGUAGCAAACAGGAUUAGAUACCCUGGUAGUCCAUACCGUAAACGAUGAAUGCUAAGUGUUGGAGGGUUUCCGCCCUUCAGUGCUGCAGCUAACGCAUUAAGCAUUCCGCCUGGGGAGUACGGCCGCAAGGCUGAAACUCAAAGGAAUUGACGGGGGCCCGCACAAGCGGUGGAGCAUGUGGUUUAAUUCGAAGCUACGCGAAGAACCUUACCAGGUCUUGACAUACUAUGCAAAUCUAAGAGAUUAGACGUUCCCUUCGGGGACAUGGAUACAGGUGGUGCAUGGUUGUCGUCAGCUCGUGUCGUGAGAUGUUGGGUUAAGUCCCGCAACGAGCGCAACCCUUAUUAUCAGUUGCCAGCAUUAAGUUGGGCACUCUGGUGAGACUGCCGGUGACAAACCGGAGGAAGGUGGGGAUGACGUCAAAUCAUCAUGCCCCUUAUGACCUGGGCUACACACGUGCUACAAUGGAUGGUACAACGAGUUGCGAACUCGCGAGAGUAAGCUAAUCUCUUAAAGCCAUUCUCAGUUCGGAUUGUAGGCUGCAACUCGCCUACAUGAAGUCGGAAUCGCUAGUAAUCGCGGAUCAGCAUGCCGCGGUGAAUACGUUCCCGGGCCUUGUACACACCGCCCGUCACACCAUGAGAGUUUGUAACACCCAAAGUCGGUGGGGUAACCUUUUAGGAACCAGCCGCNUAAGGUG